UUCUCCUGGAAAACGGGUGGUAAUGCCGGAUGCUCCGACUCCUCGCAUGGGGUGUCGGGAAAGAUUUCAUCGGUAUGGGAUGGGGUCGCGUCCUAUCAGGUAGUCGGCGGGGUAACGGCCCACCGAGCCUACGACGGGUAGCCGGCCUGAGAGGGCGACCGGCCACAUUGGGACUGAGAUACGGCCCAGACUCCUACGGGAGGCAGCAGUGGGGAAUAUUGCACAAUGGGCGCAAGCCUGAUGCAGCGACGCCGCGUGCGGGAUGACGGCCUUCGGGUUGUAAACCGCUUUUGAUCGGGAGCAAGCCUUCGGGUGAGUGUACCUUUCGAAUAAGCACCGGCUAACUACGUGCCAGCAGCCGCGGUAAUACGUAGGGUGCAAGCGUUAUCCGGAAUUAUUGGGCGUAAAGGGCUCGUAGGCGGUUCGUCGCGUCCGGUGUGAAAGUCCAUCGCUUAACGGUGGAUCUGCGCCGGGUACGGGCGGGCUGGAGUGCGGUAGGGGAGACUGGAAUUCCCGGUGUAACGGUGGAAUGUGUAGAUAUC
rnacentral:rRNA from 1 species